GACGAACGCUGGCGGCGUGCUUAACACAUGCAAGUCGAACGAUGAAGCCGGAGCUUGCUCUGGUGAAUUAGUGGCGAACGGGUGAGUAACACGUGAGUAACCUGCCCUUGACUCUGGGAUAACUGCGGGAAACUGUAGCUAAUACCGGAUACGACCCUCGGAGGCAUCUCCUGGGGGUGGAAAGAAUUUCGGUCAAGGAUGGACUCGCGGCCUAUCAGCUAGUUGGUGAGGUAAAGGCUCACCAAGGCGACAACGGGUAGCCGGCCUGAGAGGGUGACCGGCCACACUGGGACUGAGACACGGCCCAGACUCCUACGGGAGGCAGCAGUGUGGAAUAUUGGGCAAUGGGCGCAAGCCUGACCCAGCGACGCCGCGUGAGGGAUGAAGGCCUUCGGGUUGUAAACCUCUUUCAGUAGGGAAGAAGCGAAAGUGACGGUACCUAAAGAAGAAGCACCGGCUAACUAUGUGCCAGCAGCCGCGGUAA
rnacentral:rRNA from 1 species